rnacentral:pre_miRNA from 1 species
AUUCUACUCCCUCCGUUCGGAAAUAAUUGUCCUAGAAAUGAAUGAAUCUAGACUUAUUUUAGUUAUAGAUACAUUGAUUAUAUUAAUUUUUAGGACAAGUAUUUCCGGACGGAGGGAGUAUUUA